rnacentral:rRNA from 1 species
GACGAACGCUGGCGGCGUGCUUAACACAUGCAAGUCGAGCGGAAAGGCCCUUCGGGGUACUCGAGCGGCGAACGGGUGAGUAACACGUGAGUAACCUGCCCCUGACUCUGGGAUAAGCCCGGGAAACUGGGUCUAAUACCGGAUACGACCGCCCCCGGCAUCGGGUGGUGGUGGAAAGUUUUUUCGGUUGGGGAUGGGCUCGCGGCCUAUCAGCUUGUUGGUGGGGUAGUGGCCUACCAAGGCGACGACGGGUAGCCGGCCUGAGAGGGCGACCGGCCACACUGGGACUGAGACACGGCCCAGACUCCUACGGGAGGCAGCAGUGGGGAAUAUUGCGCAAUGGGCGGAAGCCUGACGCAGCGACGCCGCGUGGGGGAUGACGGCCUUCGGGUUGUAAACCUCUUUCAGCAGGGACGAAGUUGACGUGUACCUGCAGAAGAAGCGCCGGCUAACUACGUGCCAGCCGCCGCAGUAAAAC